GAGUUUGAUUAUGGCUCAGAUUGAACGCUGGCGGCAGGCUUAACACAUGCAAGUCGAACGGAAGCUACUAGCUUGCUAGUAACUUUAGUGGCGAACGGGUGAGUAAUAUUUAGGAAUCUGCCUCAUAACGGGGGAUAGCUCGGGGAAACUCGAAUUAAUACCGCAUACACCCUACGGGGGAAAGGUGGCGCGAGCUGCCGAUAUGAGAUGAGCCUAAAUCAGAUUAGCUAGAUGGUGGGGUAAAGGCCUACCAUGGCGACGAUCUGUAACUGGUCUGAGAGGAUGAUCAGUCACACCGGAACUGAGACACGGUCCGGACUCCUACGGGAGGCAGCAGUGGGGAAUAUUGGACAAUGGGCGAAAGCCUGAUCCAGCCAUGCCGCGUGUGUGAAGAAGGCCAUAAGGUUGUAAAGCACUUUAAGCAGGGAGGAAGAACUUUUAGUUAAUAGCUAAAAGUGGUGACGUUACCUGCAGAAUAAGCACC
rnacentral:rRNA from 1 species